GCUCCGGUAGCUCAGCUGGAUAGAGUGAUGGACUUCGAAUCCAGAGGUCGCAGGUUCGAAUCCUGCCCGGAGCA
rnacentral:tRNA from 1 species